GUUGACACACCUGUUCUUUUACGAUUACCGAAGCUAAGCAACGUCGAGCCCUGUCAGUACCUAGAUGGGUGACCGUUUGGGAAUACCAGGUGCUGUAAG